rnacentral:lncRNA from 1 species
CUAGGUGAAAUUACAUAAAGAUAAAAGGGGAUGCACUGAACCUGAUGGUACUUUCCUGUACAAUUGAGAAAAGGUGAAAUAAGCAGAAGACCAAGGGAUGCAUUGGGAGGAGGAGAACCAGGAGGAGGACCACGUAAUGGAAGCCAAGUGAAGACAGUGUUUCCCAGUGCUGGCAAGGAGCAGGCUCCAUGCAUGCAUUUGGGCUCUGUGGAAAAUCUAGCCAGGGAUGCGGGCCUUUCUGAACGCCGCUUUCAUUGUGCCCCCUGCAGCAUUAUCUCUUCGAUGCGAUGUCCCUGCUGACUGAAAUGCAGAGAAGCUACUAAGAUCCACACACCAGUUGCUGCAAUCGGUGCCCUGCUCUUUGUCCCCCAUUCACCCCAGGUGAUUCAGCUCUUCUGGCACUCCCAGUGAUUCCUGUGGGACAGGCCCAGAGUGGACUUCCCACGAAGAUUCCCAGACUGGGGGAGAGCUCUAAGAUCCACUUCCAAUUCCUUUGUCUCACCUAGGAGACUCUGGGUUUAUGGAAGUUCUCUCUGAUUAGUGCUGUUGCAGCUGGGUUUGGGGGUCAUGUAGUCUAAAUGAUUGUUUCUCUUACUGGUGGUGAUUUUUCCAGUUUCUGUGGGCCCAGUGGAUUUCUCUGCUUCUCCUUAGAGUUCUGGUGAACUCAGAAUGUUAGUGUUAUUCUUUUCUUUGAAAAUAGUUUCCAUUUGUAAUUUGCUUGGAGAGUGAUUCUGGGGGAUUCUAUUCUGCCAUCUUGCUGCUGUCACUCUUUAAUAAGAUUUGUAACUAAUUCUCAAAUUGUUCAUAGUCUUAAAACUACAUAGAGUUGAUUUCAUACAUUUUAUUAUGAGAACAAUAAAAGUAUUUUGUGUCUUUGCUAGUGAGAUUUUUAGUUAUACAGAAAUUACAGUGUUUCCUGCUAUGUUCAAUCAUUCCAAGAUUCAUUAUACAUAUGUUAAAUAUGUUAUACAUUUGUUUACAUAAUGCAUAUUUUAUUUUUUUUCUGAGAUACCCAAAGCAUAAUCUCCCUCACUAUCCUGAAUAAUUAUAAAUUAGUAUUUCAUAUAUGAUAGAAAAUUUGUGACAUCCACUAUUUUUAAGAACGGCUAGGCUGGGCGUGGUGGCUCAUUCCUGUAAUCCCAGCACUUUGAGAGGCUGAGGUGGGCGGAUCACGUGAGUUCGGGAGUUCGAGACCAGCCUGACCAGCAUGGAGAAACCCCAUCUCUACUAAAAAUACAAAAUUAGCCGGGCGUGGUGGCACAUGCCUGUAUUCCCAGCUACUCGGGAGGCUGAAGCAGGAGAAUUGCUUGAACCCGGGAGGUGGAGGUUGCAGUGAGCCGACAUCAUGCCAUUGCACUCCAGCCUGGGCAGC